UUCAGAGAAACGCCUGGAAAAGCUCAUUACUGGAUCGGCCAGGGAAGAAACCCGAACAUCUCUGCAUUUGUGUGGACCGAUGGGACUUCAUACUAUGGACAAUACUAUCAUUGGGAUGGUAACCAGCCGGACAAUUUCUUGUUCAGGGAGCACUGCAAUGAGAUGAACUACUGGAGCUGGGGAAACUGGAGCGAUGAGCAAUGUCAUCGAGGAAGGCCAAGGACCGUAAACUCUGAUGAGAUCCGAGCCACUUGACCAAAGCUAUGGAGGAACUUUUCUGCCUGCAGAUGGAAAGUGUAUGACCGAAAUCCACAAACGCAUAUCCCCCUUCUCUAAGCUAUGGAAGACGCAUGUGGAAACAAAGCAGUUGAUGCUUUUCAUGGCUGGAUUGGACAUGCUGAGCGAUAUUUCCCCCACUGCUUGGCCAGGGAAAACAUUGCUUGUGAUGUGGAUGAGGUUCUGUGGAACAGACCGGACCAGAAGAGAGGGUGCAGCAUAGUUUUUUUACUGUAACUUAUACAGUAAAUUCUUCUGUUGUUUUGUAUGUAGACCACUGUAUGUGCAACUCUGUGUUGGUUGGGAUGUACACUGUGUGCAUUGUUUUCGUGGGGAAAAUAAAAUAUAUUUGUUACCGUGUAUUUGUGUGUUCUGAGUAUAAAAUCAAUAUUCUAAAAUAUUUUACAACGCAUGUAUGUACUGUCUGUAGUAAGUGUAACACUGAACAAAAAAAAGGUCAAAGUCAUUAUGAUGAAUGGAGAAUUGUUUUCCAUUCAUCAUAAUGUUUUACAUUGAGCACAUCAGUGUUCAACUGGUUCUUAUAAAAGUCUAUUCAUAUGAUGGUUUGUGUUUGUCAUUUGAAAACAAAAUACCAUUUUGAGAAGAAAUUACAUUGUUUUGAAUGUAAAGUUUAAUUUUGCAGGAGUAUUGAGGGGUUUUGCGCAUUGUGUGUGGGUUUUUUGAUUUGUGUGUAGAGUUCUGAGAGUAUGAGGCAUGCU